GCUAUGCAAGCCCUCUGGUCGAGGGGUGAGAAUACAUGCAUCGUGCACCCGGGGGUGAGUGGCAUAUCAGGCUAUGAUCUUGUAAUGGGAAGCUGGGAGUUUGUGUGGGCAGAAUAUGAUUUCCCACUAGAAAUAGAGAUCAGAGAUGUCCAAGUUCAUGUUAGAGGUGAUCUGGGGUACGUUACGUGCGUUGAAAUGGUCAAGACAAAGGGCAGCAGCUGGGGAAAACAGUUUGCUACUAAUGUGUUUGAGAAGGUUGAUGGACAAUGGUUCAUAUGUAUUCACCAUGCCUCUUAUAUUGACCUGUAAAUUGGGAACGAGAGAGCUGUUUUAGAGUGAGUGAGAAGAGUCUUAUCUUAUAUUAUCAUAGAUUUUGUAACCUAUUAUUAUUAAGUCAAACGAUAAAG
rnacentral:misc_RNA from 1 species